AUGGCCACGGCAAUGGACGCCGGCGUGCUGCACCCCGGCGCCAUCGUGGUGACGGUCGUGGCAUUGGCCUCGGCGUACAUGGUGUGGUUCUGGGCGCUGUCGAGGCGGCUGUCGGGGCCCCCGAUGUGGCCGCUGGUGGGCAGCCUCCCCAGCGUCGUGGUGAACCGGAAGCGGGUCCACGACUGGAUCGCCGACAACCUGCGCGCCACGGGCGAGGCGGCGACGUACCAGACGUGCAUCCUGCCGCUGCCGUUCCUGGCGCGGCGGCAGGGGCUGGUGACGGUGACGUGCAACCCGCGGAACCUGGAGCACAUCCUGCGCGCGCGCUUCGACAACUACCCCAAGGGCCCCAUGUGGCAGGCGGCGUUCCACGACCUCCUCGGCCAGGGCAUCUUCAACUCCGACGGCGAGACGUGGCUGCUCCAGCGCAAGACGGCGGCGCUCGAGUUCACCACCCGGACCAUGGCGCGCUGGGCCAACCGCUCCAUCAAGGACCGCCUGUGGCGCAUCCUAGCCGACCACUGCCACGCCGCCGCCAGCGUCGACCUCCAGGACCUCCUCCUGCGCCUCACCUUCGACAACAUCUGCGGCCUCACCUUCGGCAAGGACCCCGAGACGCUGUCGCCGGGCUUGACGGAGAACCCCUUCGCCAACGCCUUCGACGAGGCCACCUUGGCGACCAUGCAGAGGUUUCUGUUCCCCAGCUUCCUGUGGCGGAUCAAGAAGGCGCUGGGCAUCGGCAGCGAGCAGAGCCUCCGCAAGAGCCUCGCGGUGGUGGACCAGUUCAUGACGGAGACCAUCGCGGCGCGCAAGGCCACGCCGUCGGACGACCUGCUGUCCCGGUUCAUGAAGAAGCGCGACAGCAACGGCAAGGCGUUCCCGGAGGACGUGCUGCAGUGGAUCGCGCUCAACUUCCUGCUCGCGGGCCGCGACACGUCGUCCGUCGCGCUCAGCUGGUUCUUCUGGACGGUCAUGCAGAGGCCGGACGUGGAGCGCAAGGUGCUCCUCGAGAUCGCGUCCGUGCUCAGGGAGACGCGCGGCGACGACACGGGGAGGUGGGCGGAGGAGCCGCUGGACUUCGACGAGCUGGACCGCCUCGUGUACCUCAAGGCGGCAUUGUCGGAGACGCUGCGCCUGUACCCGUCGGUGCCGCAGGACUCCAAGUACGUGGUGGCCGACGACGUGCUCCCCGACGGCACCGUGGUGCCAGCCGGCUCGGCGAUCACCUACUCCAUCUACUCGGUGGGGAGGAUGGAGAGCAUAUGGGGGAAGGACUGCGUGGAGUUCCGGCCGGAGCGGUGGCUGUCGGCGGACGGCAGCCGCUUCGAGCCCGUCAAGGACGCGUACCGCUUCGUGGCGUUCAACGGCGGGCCGAGGACGUGCCUCGGCAAGGACCUCGCCUACCUGCAGAUGAAGUCCAUCGCGUCGGCGGUGCUGCUGCGCCACUCGGUGGAGCUCGUGCCGGGGCACCAGGUGGAGCAGAAGAUGUCGCUCACCCUGUUCAUGAAGAACGGGCUCCGCGUGAACGUCAAGCCAAGGGACCUCGCCGACUGCGUCGCGCCGCCGCCGGAGGAGGCGCCGCCACUGGGGUCAGUCGUGAUCCCAACCACCACUGCCGCCGCUGCAUAG
rnacentral:rRNA from 1 species